UAUCCAUGGGAAUUGGAAGGAGGAGAAGAAUGCAGAGAAUGUUACAGAGGUUAAAUUAGCCAUUUGUGAUACUGACUGGACAUUCACAGGUAAUCUGGAGCUCAGAAAGAAAUUCAGAAUAGUAGAAAUCAUAUGUAUAGAGUUGGUAUUUGAACCCUUGGGAAUGAAUAAGCCUCCCAAGGGAGAAAACAUGGAAAGAGAAGCAGGCCAAGGACAGAUCUUUGGUAAACAUUCACUUUUUAGAAAGUGGGAAGAGGAUGAGAAGGAAGUCAGUUAAGGAAAAACAUUACAAAAUAUUGAGGAGCUAAAGCCUAGCAUCAAUUCAGCAGCUUCCUUUACAUGGAAAAGCUUAGGGAAAUAUUUAGAAGUACUAUAGGCUGGAAUGAAUUUAUUGGUUGGCUGACUAUGCUCUGUAGUGAAUCUGAAGGUUCCAAGAAGGAAAUGGGCAUAGUAGAAAGAACUCUGGAUUUGGCAUCAGAAAACAUGGGUCCAAACUCAGGGUGAGCUUGUUUAAGUGAUUUCAUCUCUCAUCUCAGCUUUUUUAACUAUAAAAAAGAGCAGGUUGGACUAGAUGAUCUUUAAAGUUCUGUUCAGCUCUAAACUCUGAUUUAUCUUUUAAGUUAUAAGAUGUAAACAAGCCAAGUUUUGAUAAAUCUAAACAUUCCCUAAACCUUUUUUUCCCUCUAUCAUAACAAUUUCAGUUUGUUUGUUUUUUAAUUCUGGCUUCACAGUUUCAAAAUAGAAGGUUUGAAAAGUUGUCUCAUUAUUUUUAGAGAGAGAAUCUGAUAACUGAGAGGGCUGAGGAGGGCAAGGAUUUUUCUGAAUUUUGGAAUACACUUGAAAAGAUUUAGUGUUCUGAACCAAUUCAUGUUUUCUUUCCUUCCUUCCUUCCUUCCUUCCUUCCUUCCUUCCUUCCUUCCUUCCUUCCUUCCUUCCUUCCUUCCUUCCUUCCUUCCUUCCUUCUUCCUCUUUUUCUUUCUCUCUUUCUUUCUCUCUUUCUUUCUCUUUCUCUCUCUUUCUUUCUUUCUUUCUUUCUUUCUUUCUUUCUUUCUUUCUUUCUUUCUUUCUUUCUUUCUUUCUUUCUUUCUUUCUUUUCUUUUCUUUUUUCCUUCCUUCCUCCCCCACCCUUUCUUAAAAAUAUAAAUAGUCUGCCAGAGAGUAUAAGUAGAAAUGAGUCAGAUGGAGUCAGGAGGGCAGUUGCCCAAGAAGAAGCAGGAAGAUGGAAGAGGGGGAGGGAGAAAGUUGAUGGUCCUUGCAUGUCUAUCCUGACUGAUCUCUAAAGAGUAUUUCCUAGGGAACCAGGAAGUGCUGGUAAGUCAAUUUCAUUCAGCAGCAGAGCUGAUCUGAUAGAGAAAGAAGGAGAAAGAGGAGAAGGAAGAAGAGGAGGAGGAGGAGAAGGAGGAGAAGGAAGAGGAGAAGGAAGAGGAGAGGAGAAAGAGGAGAGAGAAAAAGGAGAAGGAAGAGGAGAAGGAAGAUGAAGUUGUAUUUGGAAGCAUAAAUUCACUGGUAAACAACAAGCCCUAGUGUGCUUCUUUUGGAUUUAAUAGGCAUUAUCCUGUAGUAGUAUCCAUUUGCCAAAAACACUAUCCUCAAGAGGCAAAAUCAUGUGGAUAUGAAUACUGCUUCAUAUAAGCCAGUGGUUGGGUCAAGGAAGUAGUCACUAUAUAUGUCAAAGGUCACCGGAGCUAUUUUUUCAGAAUAGUUACUUUUGGCUUUUUUCCCUGUCUUAUGGGCUGGUUCCCAAGAAUCCCCAGCUUGACCACAAAGAAUUUUCAAGUCCAGUUAGCUUAUGAAACAGCGUUCUAUUCACUAGAAUCCCUGCUGGCCCUGCCCCCAACGUCUCCAUAAUCUCUUAUCUACCCUAGUCUUAAUUCUCUUAAUUAUUGCUUUCCUUGCUGAUCUUCGUAUAUGUCACAGUCUACUUUCUGCUGGAACUUGAGGGAGCUUUUCCUCAAAACAUCCUUUUACUUCCUUCUUCGGUGAAUGAGAAUCAUGUCUGUAGUUAUAGAUGUCCUUAGUGCAAGGAGCAGGGAGGCUAGGAAAGAGAAAGGAAGGGGAUGAGUGAAAGGGAUUGAGGGACAAGAAAGGGUUCUGAGGAGCUAGGAAUAGAAGAAAGAAAUUAGGAAAGGAGAAAGUUAAAGUGUAGGAUGACUAUUCUGGGAGAAUAGAGCAGUUUUGACAAAAGAAUGAUUUUGGAAAGUUUCUGGUAUCCUACUUACUUUCUAGUUCUAUCAAUCCCUUGUUCAUUAUUAAUAAUACUUUGUUUUCUUGCUUCUUUCCUUUUUAAAAAAUUUCCCUUACUAUUUCUACUCUAAUUGCAAGCAGGGGUAGUUCUUUGAAUUUUGGGUAAAAUAAAGAUAUGAUGAUAAAAUCA
rnacentral:lncRNA from 1 species